UCGGGAAAAUUUUGCAAUGCGCGCAAGCGUGACAGAGCAAGCCAGAGUGCUUCUCUAUAAUUGAGAAGCUUUUGCGGGAUGUAAACAGUCCCGUGAAUAAGGACCGGGCAAGACUGGUGCCAGCCGCCGCGGUAAUCCCAGCGGUCCAAGUCGCAGCCACAAUUAUUGGGUCUAAAACAUCCGUAGCUUGCUUCGUAAGUCUCUUGUGAAAUCUGGCUUCUUAAGAGUCGGGCGUGCAAGAGAUACUGCGAGGCUAGAGACCGGGAGGCGUAAUGAGUACGUACGGGGUAGCGGUAAAAUGCGUUGAUCCUGUACGGACUAACAACCGCGAAGGCACGUUACGAGAACGGAUCUGACAGUGAGGGAUGAAGGCUAGGGGCGCAAAGUGG
rnacentral:rRNA from 1 species